rnacentral:misc_RNA from 1 species
AACGCACGAGACCUGCGGACCUGCGGAGGGAUCAUUACCGAAUGGCCUCCGGGCCUUCACAAACCCCAUCAAACCUGUGGACCUCUCAGAGAGAGCGUGCUUCGGCGUCCCCUCGGCUCCGCCCGAGGGACGCCGCCUUCAUGCAGAUAGAUCGUCUCGUCUGAUUUUGAAACCAUGAGAAUUUAAAACUUUUAGCAACGGAUCUCU